rfam:Salmo salar isolate Sally breed double haploid chromosome ssa15, whole genome shotgun sequence.
UAGCUCAGUUGGUAGGGCAUGGUGUUUGCAACGCCAGGGUUGUGGGUUCGAUUCCCAC